AUACUUAUCUGGCAUUAGAGAUACCAUGAUCACAAAGGUGGAUUUUCCAGGGGGCAUCUUAUCUAUUGCCUCUGGAUGUGCUGACUCCUACAAUUUCCCCAAAUUUUAAAAAUGAGGAACAUAAAGGGGUUUAAAUGGAAGUGAGGUUUCUACACUUCACUUG
rnacentral:snRNA from 1 species